rnacentral:lncRNA from 1 species
GGUCAGAACAUUGCAGAUAAUAUGUGUUGCCUAAUCAAAGAAGAUCAAGAUGCUUACAAGAAACAAUCCUUUCAAUACAUCAAGAACAACAUUAACUCCAGACACAACAGCAGAGAUGUAUAAGAAAACUCACGCUGCUAUAUGACAAAAUACAGUCUAAGAGAAGCCCAAAAAAGAAGUUAAAAGAAGAGGUGGAACCGUUCCACAAUAUCCCUUGCCCAGAAGAAAAAGCAGAUAGCUUAAAAGAAGGCAACCUUCUUCAGAGCCCAGGAGCGGACUGCUGAG